rnacentral:ncRNA from 1 species
AAAGCUUAAGCUAUUAUUACCCUCCGAUUGCUUAUUCAGACCGCCCAAAUCUAGAGGCGGUUU